CGAACAAGGGCAAAAGGAUAAUUAUCAUUCUUCAACUACAGCCCUUUCAUCCUCAUUUUCUUGACCUUCCAUUUCCACUAUCAUUUUCUCAUAUAUUUUCCGCCACGCUCCACUCUUCAUUUUUCCAUAUACUGUACCUUACUGCUAAAAUUUGGGGUUUGUCUUUCCAUUUCUCAAUUCUACGAUUCCAUGAAGUUUUUCUCAGUUCUUUCUUAUGGCCAUGGCAGGGUAUAUGUUAGUUCCUCUUUUGGGUAUAAUGCCAAAAAAAAGCAUGCCAUCAAAUCUUCAUCCUACUCCGUGGGCUCUUUUGACCUUCAACAUGAUUUGUAAUGGUUGAGCAUGGAUGUAGAUGCUAUUCGGCUUAGGCAGAGAACAAAAGACGAAGCUUCUAGAAAAUGAAGGCAUGAGAGGUUAAGAUAGACAAAAGGGUCCUUCUUUCUCAUUUAUAUAUUUUGUUAUAUUCGAUUUGUCAUUCCAAAUUUAGGGAGUUGUCAUUUACUCUAUUAAUCAAUUUAUUCUACCAUUAUCUAUAUAUUUAUCUGAUUUCUUUCCCAUCUUCUGGUUGAUAUAUUUGUCCCAACACUGACGAUGGUGCAUGCUCUAAUGAGAUGGUCACGACAAAUACCUUUCGAGAAAUUUUGAUGACACUCCCGGAUUGGUCAACAUAUAUACAAAUCUGACAGGGGAAAGUUUGAAGCUCGCUAUUCGAAUUUACUUACAUUUUAAAGCGACGGAUGCUUUGCGGUCAAAUGAUGGAUGUUCUCAAGCUGGCAAAGAUAGUAGCUAUGAAAGUUUUUAACUAUUUCACAACAGCUUAACAAAGCUCAUGAAGUUGUACCGGCAUGUAACAGAUAUGCUUUAUUGUUUCAUGGGUUGGCUGUGACUCUCAACAAAUCAUGGAAGAUCUUGCAUUGGAGGUUCAGAAAGUCUGCUCAUUUGAAGUUGAAUGUUUUGCUGUUGUGGUUCAUUUGAAGGUGAAGAAUAAAGUUAUCUUCAAGGAAAUGAAAUCAUUUAGCUUUUGUUCUCUAUCGGUGAAUUUCUUUUUUUGUACUUUAAAGUGAUAAUCACUUAUAAUGGAAUGUUUGUUUUGAAUUUGAUUGGAUAAGCCCAAUACCAUUAGAUGUUACUAGACAUUACUGAUGUUAUUUUGUUUUUCAUCAAAUUCUUUAUUGCUAUCGUUCACUGAAUGAUUGCAAAGCAUCCAUUGCUUUAAAACGUAAAA